rnacentral:rRNA from 1 species
UCCGUAGGUGAACCUGCGGAGGGAUCAUUACAGAGUUGCAAAACUCCCAACCAUUGUGAACCUACCUCACCGUUGCUUCGGCGGGUGGCCAGGGGCAACCCAGGCCGCGCCGGCCCCCCUCGCGGGGCUGGCAGCCCGUCAGAAGCCUGAAACUCUAGCAUGUUGGCCUCUCUGAGUAACUUAUACAAUAAGUCAAAACUUUCAACAACGGAUCUCUUGGUUCUGGCAUCGAUGAAGAACGCAGCGAAAUACGAUACGUAAUGUGAAUUGCAGAUUUCAGUGAAUCAUCGAAUCUUUGAACGCACAUUGCGCCCGCUAGUAUUCUGGCGGGCAUGCCUGUUCGAGCGUCAUUUCAACCAUCAAGCGCCUGCGCUUGUGUUGGAGCCCUGCGGCUGCCGCAGGCUCCCAAACCCAGUGGCGGGCUCGUCGUCGUACCGAGUGCAGUAGACUUACCACGCUCAGGGCACGCGACGGGUGACCGGCCGUAAAACCCCCCCCUUCUCAAGGUUGACCUCGGAUCAGGUAGGAAUACCCGCUGAACUUAAGCAUAUCAAUAAGCGGAGGA